GGGAUUGCCUCAGUAACGGCGAGUGAAGCGGCAACAGCUCAAAUUUGAAAUCUGGCUCCUUCGGGGUCCGAGUUGUAAUUUGUAGAGAGUGUUUCGGGGGAGACUGCGGUCUAAGUCCAUUGGAACAUGGUGUCAUAGAGGGUGAGAAUCCCGUAUGUGACCGCGGAUCGAACCCAUGUGAAGCCUCUUCGACGAGUCGAGUUGUUUGGGAAUGCAGCUCAAAAUGGGUGGUAAAUUUCAUCUAAAGCUAAAUACUGGCUGGAGACCGAUAGCGCACAAGUAGAGUGAUCGAAAGAUGAAAAGCACUUUGGAAAGAGAGUUAAACAGUACGUGAAAUUGUUGAAAGGGAAGCGCUUGCAACCAGACCUGCCCGUAGACGAUCAGCCGCUGUUCUCAGCGGUGCACUCGUUCUGCGAUCAGGCCAGCAUCGGUUUCGGCGGUCGGAUAAAGGCCUUGGGAAUGUAGCUUCCUUUCGGGGGAGUCUUAUAGCCCUCGGUGCAAUGCGGCUCGCCGGGACCGAGGACCGCGCUUCGGCUAGGAUGCUGGCGUAAUGGUUGUAAGCGACCCGUCUUGAAACACGGACCAAGGAGUCUAACAUCUAUGCGAGUGUUUGGGUGUCAAACCCAUGCGCGGAAUGAAAGUGAACGGAGGUGAGAACCCUUAAGGGCGCAUCAUCGACCGAUCCAGAUGUCUUCGGAUGGAUUUGAGUAUGAGCAUAGCUGUUGGGACCCGAAAGAUGGUGAACUAUGCCUGAAUAGGGUGAAGCCAGAGGAAACUCUGGUGGAGGCUCGCAGCGGUUCUGACGUGCAAAUCGAUCGUCAAAUUUGGGUAUAGGGGCGAAAGACUAAUCG
rnacentral:rRNA from 1 species